rnacentral:lncRNA from 1 species
CUUUUUGCCUUUUCUAGAGCCGCUCCCGCAGCAUAUGGAGGUUCCCAGGCUAGGGGUCGAAUCAGAGCUGUAGCCGCCGGCCGACACCACAGCCACAGCAACCCCAGAUCCGAGCCAUGUCUGCAACCUACACCACGGCUCAUGGCAACGCCGGAUCCUUAACCCACUGAGCAAGACCAGGGAUAGACCCUCAUGUUUCCUAGUCGGAUUCGUUAACCACUGAGCUGCAACGGGAACUCCUCUAAAUCCCAAAUCUUAAAUCCUCUUAGUGGCAGGGGGUCCCAAGCUUGGCAGUCUGGUUUAGGAGCCUGCACUCUUAACUGCUAAGAUAUACUACCUGAAAAAAUGAAUAAUUAAGCAUUAGUCUCUGAAUUUUGUGUGCUCCUGUCAUUGGCUGAGAGUAAGGUACCCCAGCUGUCAACUGUACCUAUACUUACUCUGCCAGCAACAUGGGCUUCCCCAGCUACUUAACAAAGCCGUCCUGCUUUCUCUGACUUUCUGAAUGGCAUGGCAUUCAGCCUGAAACAGAUUUCCCACUGGCACAGACAAGACAAAAACACGAACAUUUGGAUAAUAUUUUAAAACUUAUAAAUAGAAAUAUUUUAAUUUGAUCCUCACAGCAAAUAUGUGAAAUAUUAUAAGCAACCUCUUUCAAAAAGGAGAAAUCUAACACACACAGCUGAUGAGCUAGGGAGUGCAGACUCCGACCCCAGUCGGGGUCAGCGCAAGAUCUGGUGGUUUGGCCCAAGCUCCAAUGCUUUUCUCCGUCACACUAUGCUGCUUCACCACACAUGCUUGUCUAUACCACCCCAACCUCUAGAAUCCCCGCUAGUCUAUUGGAAAUGGGAUAUUGACUCUGAACCACUGAUCUUAGAUUAGAAAGGAGCUGAGUACGAUGCAGCUAUGCUUAGGUCUUCAGAGGCUCCAAGGUAAAAUUGGUGAAAGAUGUGUAUCUGGGCCUAUUUAUUCAAAGGAUAAAUUUGAUGACUGUAUACAAUGUGUUAAGCCUGUGUUGUCCAAUGCAGGAGCCACUGGCCACAUGUGGUUUUUGAGCAGUUGAUUUAGUAGUUGACUAGUGUCACUGGGGAACUGAGUUUUUACUAUUACUUCAUUUUUGUUACUUUAUAUUUAAAAUUAAAAAUGGGAACAAUGUAAAAUACAUUUCUAUUAAUACAGUUUUAUUGUUUUGGUAGAAGUAUCUUUCACUUUAGGUUUCCCACUGCACAUGUAUAGUAAUGCCCUUAUGUGAAUGCCUUGUUUCUACUAAUACACAUAAACACAACAAUGAUCUAGCAGGAGCUGAUGGCUUGAAUAAUUUUCUUCUCUACAUGCAACAUUGUAGUAUGUUUCUUGGAAUGCUUUAUUCCAACAGCUCCAAUUGCAGGGAUAACUAUGUAAACUGUAAUUUAUAAUUGAACUGAAACACGUGCUAAUAUUUUAAUUAUGCUACAAUUAAAUUAUUCUUUAGCAUAAAAAUAAGCAUGGACAAGAUUCUAAAAUUUAAAACAAAAGCAGACUACUGAUGCAGAAUUGAGUGGAGAUAGCAAAGCCAAUACUAUGAUCAGAAUAGAAAAGAAAAUAAGACACUGGAAGAAAAAUACCGUAAAUUUUACAGAGAAUGGCGGUUGCAAUUUGCCACAGCAGAAAAAAACAAAGAUGAUUUCUGUUUUGUUUUAAAAAAAAAAGAUAAUAGACAAACAUUAGAGAUAUUUAUAGCAAAUACGGUAAAUUAGAUAAGUUCCUUCUCAGCAGUCAAAAAAUAAUUGACUAAACUAGUCACCUGAUAUCAGAAUUAAAUAUCAAUCCAUAAAAAUUUUAAAGAUUUUUAACAGACUCUGAGCUUCUAAUUUUGGCUAGCUAUGAAAUGACUUAGAUUCUUAUAUACGCAUACACAAAACUAUUUUUGACAGAUAAUAGAAUGAAUUAUUAUUCCAAUUCCGAAAAAAAUUUUUGGCUGUGCCCAUAGCACGCAAAACUUCCCAGGCCAGGGCUUGAACCUGCAACACAGCAGCAACUGGAGACACAGCAGUGACAACACUGGAUCCUCAAACUGCUAGGUUACUGAGAAACUUUUUUUUUUUACUUAUGAAAAUUAUAAGGAAAAUACUAAAAGCGACAUUAUAUAAAAAGUGGAAGAUCUUUAAUUAAGUUAGCAAACUAUUGUCCAUGGGCUAUAGAGCUCUAACAACAUCAAAGAUCGAUUAUUACAAAUUUGAAGGAUUUUUUUCAGCUUUUAAUGAACUGGGAAAUCUAAGAGACCCUGCUCAAUUAAUACGUGCGCACAUGUCAUUUCAAAUUUAUAAUAAAUUUUGUCAACCUGUGGCCUAAAGUAUGGAACUUGUGGCCCAGAUAGUUUUUCAUCUUUUGUACAUAUCAAAGAAGAAUUUUACUUAGCUGUAGGAAGGAAGAAAUGUUUCAGUCACAACACACGAUGCUUUAGCUACGCCAGAUUUUUUUUUUUUUUAAUCCUGAUUUUUUUGGAAGUUUUAAACAACGGACUGAUAGUCUAUUGUUUCAUUUCAUUGUAUGAUAUAUAUUGAAAACAUCUGGACUAAGUUUCUGAAGCAGUCUUUAUGAAAAGUGUCAUGUUUGCAGUUGUUAGAAGUCUUUAGUACAUAUAUGUAAAUGUUAUGAAUCACUGUCAGUUUACAAAUCUGUUGAAAAACACCAAAGACAAUGAGGUCAAUGAUCUUGUGGGGUUUUUGUCCAGUUGAGUCAUGUUGUAAAAAUUUACAGUAAACUCCAAAAUUUUCUUGAAACAAAAUUCAGUAAGUCAAAGACAAAGCACGUGAGUGUGAUUAACCCUUCCUAGCCAAUAUCACACUACAUAUGAAUGAGCCAAACUUGAAGUUUCAUGGAAAGGAAAAGCUUUGUGACCCAGGUUUAUUGGUAUGAGAAUUUGCUAAGAUAAAAAUUCCAUUGCACGCACAUACCAAAUAAAUAAAUAAAUAUUCCAUUACACAUAUCAAUAAUAAUUAUUUUACACAUUUUUCUAAUGGAAAUACAUAUGCCACAGUUAGUAACUAAAAUUGAAUGAAUUAUGUACUUUGGCUGCAAAAAUGACAAGAACAAUUUGAAGGACUAUUUUUGGAGUAAACUUAGAACUGCUUUUCAAUUUAUACAAUAUCCUUUUGCACCCAGGGUUAAUACUGUGUUUACACAAGAGUUAAUGAAUCUAUUAUGGACAGUCGUAGUUUUGAAAUGGAUAUGCAAGUUAGCUUCAAAGCUUAAUUAAUUGCUCUAAAAAUGAUGGGCCAGUUUUGUCCAUGUGAGUUUAAAUAUUAAAGUAAAAUAAUAUUUUUGGUAUUUAAUUCCAUUUUUAGAAAACUUUUAAGUAAGCUUGGAACAGUGCAAGUAUAUGACUAUAUUUUUUUGAGAAGAAAUUUUAUGAACUCUAAAUGUGGAUCCAGUGUUUCUGAUGAAACUUUGGUUUCUGAGUUGAGAUGUACUGGAAGUGUAAAAUACCUAUCAAGUUUUGAAAACCUGAUGUGAUAAAAAGAAUGUAAAUGAUAUCAUUGGUUAUUUUCCACACCAAUUAAGUAGUAAUGUUUGGAUGUACUGGGUUAAGUAAAACAUUAUGAAAAUGAAUUUCCUUUGUUUCUUUUUAUUUUUUAAAGUGGCUACUAAAAAUUUUUUAAUUAUAUGUGUCUUUCAUUAUAUUUCUAUUGGACAAUACUAACCCUUUGAGUUGGUCAGAGGAUAGAGAGGUGAAUAAGACCUUUCUAUCAAGAAGAAAGCUAAGCACAGACAUCCUAUUGUAAAAUCAUGUGGAAGUUAAAUGACAGACUCCAAAAGACGUGGAAGAAGUCUCAAUGAGAGUGCCUAACUCAGAUUGGGGAAAACAUGGAAGACUUCUUGGAGGAAGUGAUAGCAGGAUACGGCCUUAAAAGAGGAGUAAGUAAUAAUAAAUAAGAAAAAAUAAAAAUGGCUUUCCAAUGGAGUAGUUAUUAUCCGCAAAGACCUAAAGAGGUAAAAUUGUAUACUCAUGUAGGGUAUAAAAGUGGAUCUGGUUUACUAGGUUGUAAAUGUGAGAGUGUGGCCAGAGACUAGGGUGGAGAGGUAGCUGGAUCCUGAUAGGCCUUGUAGACCAUGCUAGCCUUGGGACUAAUUCUGGAGGUGAUGGCUCAUGGCUUAAGUUGGAUACUCAGGCAGUAAACUCUGUAAACUCUAAUUCCAGGAAGUUUUUCUUUCCUAAUCUGUUUCACUGGGGAAGUGGGAGCACUGAUCAUUUUCACUGCNAUUGGAUGAACAAGAAUGGUACCAUUCUUGUGAGAUGAAAUUUUAUAUUGUAUGGCAGCUGGUUUCAUGUCAUUGGAUUCAGGUCUUCUCCAUACAUAUGUCAAACACAGCUGAUUGAUUUCAGAGCCUGAAGUCUUAAAUUUCCGCAAUUAUUUAUUCCACUGAUUGCUGUCUGUUAUAUAUUUGUUUGUGAUUUAUAUUGACCCACUGGAGUAUAAAUUUCACAAAGCAGUGUCUCUGCUGUGUUCACCACUGUAUCCCUAGCACCUAUGAUAGAGCCUCACAGAUAGUACGUGCUCAGUAAAUGUUUUUGAAUAAGUAACACAUUAGAUAAGAUGGUAACACCUACUGGUAACAUGUAGUAGCCCUACUGCAGUCUGUAGAUACCUGGAUAAGACACCUAAAGAAGGCAAAUUCCAUCAACACAUUAUCUUUGAAACAUGUUGACUUAACAGGUUCAAAAAAUGAAGGCAAGCAGAAAGCCAAGGGAGGAAAAAAAUGCACAUCCAGAGAAAUAAGGGAGCCUAAUGUAGUGGAAGAAUGAGGACUUCACACUCAGACCAACACGGGUUUCAGUCCUCAACUCAGGUUUCUACUUGCUGUGUGACACUGUGUAAAGUAACUCACAUCUCUAAGCCUCAAUUUCUUCAACCUUAAAAAGGGGCAGUAAGAGUUCCCACCGUGGUAUAGUAGGUUAAGGAUCAGGGGUUGCCACAGCUGAUGUGUAGGUCACAGCUGUGACUGGGAUUCAAUCCCUGGCCUGGGAACCUCCACGAGUGUGACUGAAAAAGAGGCAGGGGCGGGAGGGGGCAGAAAAACCAGCAGUGUUUUGACACUGGAAAUAACACAUUUAAAGUGUGUGUGCCAAAGGACAGCUAGUGUUAGCUUCUGUGUAAGACAAUGGAAAGUGAGGGGUUUGCUUGACUGUUUCCAACUUUUCCUCCUUCAUUCUGGUCUAGGAGGAGCCUUCCAAUCAUUCUCAUGCAUGUGGCUUUUCAGAGGAGGUAGUUUCUUUGCUCAGUGCACAAUUGGCCAUUUCCUGGCCUUGUAUGACAAGUGAAUAAGGCCAAGCAUGGAUUGCCCAGGCUGCUGAUACCAGAAACCUCUCUCAGGAUAUUUUCCAGGCACUAGGAAAUCAAUAUCCACUGUCAGGCAGCUUCAAAGCUGAUUACCUUGAAAUGAAUGGUCAUGCCUCCUCUUUAGGUCUCCAUUCUCCCCUUGUUCAAAGGAUUGGCUGCAAUACAUUAGGUCCCUAAUUAAGAAGGAUGAUGCUCAGCAAAUGACUCCUCUGAGCAGAAUACUAAGCCACUGGAAAAGUUUUGGGGCAGGUCUUCUGGUAUCCACACAGAGGGACCAUAUGUGAAUAGAGUCGAUGCUGCCUUAAUUGGUCAUGGUGUAGGGAUUAUAUUUCACCGCUCUGCUGGGAGUAAUAAAGUCUAACGUUCUAAUCAGUGUGGCAGCCAAGAAAUGGAAACUUAGAAUCUGAGCUGCUCUGCUAUUCAGCCAGAGCCGGUGAAAAGGAAAUGGAUACUGCCUCAGCUGUUUGAAAAUACAGACCCUUCACCUAAUAAUAAAAACACCCUCAGCAGGAUGAAACCAGACCCUACAUCUAAUAAUAAUAAUAUUUCUGGAGUGAAGCCAACCUCGACUCAAACCUUUUGUCAUUUACUAUCCGUUUAGCCUAAAGGAUUUUGUUUGGCCUUUCUCAUAUUUGGUUUCAACAUUUAUCAAAUGGGAUUAUGAAAAGUACGUUAAAUAAAUAAUUUCUCAUAACUGGCAAAGUUUCUGGCACAGAGAAAGCUUGCAAACAAUGUCUCUUUCUCUUUCCCUACUAUUCACAAUGUCUUUACAUUUUUCAGAAGUUACCAGCUUGAGGUUUGAAUGGACAUGAGGGUCUUUACUGAUAAGCAUGCCUAUGGUUUUGAGCAGAUUCCCUAAGGUUUUUAUUUUUCUUUUCUUUUCUUUUUUUUUAACCUCAAAACAAGGCUAUCACUUGUAAAAAUCCUGUAAAAAUCACUGGUCUUUAUCUUUCUUUUAGGGUCUGGUUCCUGCCUCUCU